GAAAAAUAUUGUUAUCUUACAAACGCUACAUUUUUUAUGGGAUGCGUGAUAAGUGUAGCAACAAUCAGGCCAGGUCUGACGUGAAGAACCGCCACAAGUAAUUCAUAGGUCACAAGAAGAAUUAGUUUAUGGUUGUUGGUUGGCUAAUAUGCUUGGUUGUUGGAAAAAAGGAGAAAGACUUUAUCUUACACCAUUUUCAGUCCCCAAACUUACAACGCCACUUGAGCUGGGCGUUCUCUCAGCUACCAACUGCAACUUGUGGCAUUUCUUGAAACAUAGUAUCGAGAGAUCAAGGAGAAGCACAACACACAAUGUUGUUUGCAGGUAAAAGGUCAGAAAUAUUAACAUAUGAUGGGACACCUACUCCAUAUGCCUCAUGUCCCAUAGAGACGAUCAAUUAUGUUUAUGCUCAUGACAAUGAAACCCUAUUUGACAUUGUGAGCUUAAAGAAUGCUUUGCUUAAGCAAUCAAAUGAAUCGAGGAGUGGAUCUUAUCUACCGGUUCAUUUCACAUCUUCAAACAUCUUUAAGUCUAACACACUAAAGGUGUCUAAAGAUCUUGUGUCAAAAAAUUACAAUUUUGUACGUAAAAUUAUAAUUUAAAUUAUAAUUUUGUACGUAAAAUUAUAAUUUAAAUUAUAAUUUUGUACGCAAAAUUAUAAUAUUAUAUGCGCAUCUCUUUUAUAUGCGCAUCUCUUUAGUUAGGUGGUGGUGUGGUAUUGCACCUUUGCUUUAAUUUUUAAUUGGAAAAUAAAUUUUAGUAAUAAUUGUAUUAGUUUUUAAUUAGACAAGGUGACAACACAUAACAUGUUCAGGAAUGCAGGAUGCUCUAGUUAAGCAAUCAUAGGAAUUAGGAUUGGAUUUUAUCUACGGUUCAUGUAAGGUCUUCAAACACCUUUAAGCCUGACACACAAUAACAUGUGGUCUAACCUUGUGUCACAAUUUAAUUUAGUUAAGUUUGAAAGAUAAUCAAGCAUUCAAAUGUCUCAAUUAUACGUUGUAUCUUCUUGUUAAAUAUCCUUUAUUGUUGUCCAUCGAAAUAAAAGACACAUGUGCUGAGAUGGAUGUGUUUAUGAUAUUCUGAACUUUGCAAAAUGAUAAUUGAACUUGGUGAAUGUGUUGAACUAUCAGCAAUUAAAGGAGAAAGAAGCAAGUUUGUGGUGUUUGAUGUCAAUAGGCUAGCUAACUCUAUGGUGUCUUUAGAAGCGGAAAAUAAAUGUCAAAAGAAUGAAAAUCAAAAAUUAUACUAAACGUUUGGGUGGAGAUGUUGUGCCAUGCAGCAAAGCCAAUGUAGUUGGCUUAAUCAUGGUAAGUAACUUAGUUUAGGGGUGAGUUGCUCACCCGUGUCUGGCUUUUAAUGACAUAAUUAGAUAUCACUAAACAGUUUGAGAUUUCACAGGUUCGUCAAGACUUAUAGUCAGCUAAAUUUGUUCUGGUCAAUGUGCUUCAACUUCUUAAUUACUCAUUUCAAUUAUUGAGAUCACUCAAGAUUUUAACUUGGUCAUUGUUGUUGGUUAGCAUCAAAAAGUUUGAAGAAUCCAUUCGGCCUCCCCUAAACCUCAGACCAAAUUAUUCCUAUUUCUCAUACGACUUGGCUGAAUAGAUAGACGAAGGGUAUAAAGUUAGGUUGAUGGUUCAAUCUACUCCUGUGUCAUCCUAUCAUUCUCAAAUAGUAAUAGCAAAUGAAAGGAUACAAGAUGCUUUCUUUGUACAACAUGGAUUCUAUCUGUUUUCAAUUUUUGUUAUAUGUUGUAUAUUAUCCUUAAAUGAUCUUCUAUGCUUGCCUAACGAAAUAUGAC